rnacentral:rRNA from 1 species
AUGCAACUGCUACUGCAAUUGACUCCUUUCCAAGCACGGGCUUCGGAAUAUCUUCAAAUAAGGGGACUGAUUGACCUAGCCUGCCAGACUAUUGCUAGUAAGAUAAAGGGGAAAUCUCCGCGUGAAAUUUGUAAUAUCUUCAACAUCAAGAGUGUCUUUCCUCCGGAAUUAGAUGGAGAAACGAUAGCAAAGCGAUUGCAAGAUUCUGCAACAUGUUCGAGCGACAAGGAGUUGCCAUGCAGUGAGACCCCAUGUUUAAUUCAAGAGCUCGAAUUCGAGGAAAAGGCUUUGCAGGCUCUUGACAUAGUUCGAUGUCAAGAGUUUACAGGAUACGACCCUAAGGUCAAUGCUUACACCCGUACCCGAUUCGACAUAUUCAACCUAGCCUUCUUUGAGCUUGACAAAGAGUCUGAAUUUUGUCGUGGUCCGCGGCUUAACAUGAUACCUUCACCAAUACGUGACUCGAUCGUAGGAUCGUGUGUAAAUGUCAUUACCUUGAAGGUAAAGGAAUCGGAAGUUGGCUUCCCGAUAAAAGUUUUUGGUACCGUUGUAGCAAGAGACCAGGUAGACUAUAGAUGUGUUUAUCUCUUCAGGCGUGAAAGGGAUGAUCCCCAACUCAUCACCUCGGCGGAUGGCAAGUUAACUUUGAUGGAUCCAUGCCGAGGGCUUGUUCCGGCAGACAGAAUAUAUUUUGAGAUGAAUUUAAAGAUAGUCCAUGAUGGAGGUGAGGUUGAAGAUUUCAGCAAAGGUGUGAUCGUUUUCAACAGAGCCCGCCUCCCUAAUGAUAAGCAGACCAUGGGUGUGAGUCUAAAUAGCUAUCUGAGUAGGGUGGAAGUGAGAUGUGCAUAUGUUGUAUAUCCCAUUGAAGCUACCAUUGAAGUCAAUAUCUUGAAGGGACCGUGUAGUGUCUCAAGAGUUGCUGCCUGGACUACCAAGAAUUAUGAGUAUAGUAUGGAUCUUUACAACAGCGGUGGUGAAGCAGCAGCAGAGAUUGAGGCAGGAGGGACCGUUCCCUUGAGUCGUCGCGUUGUAGCUGUCCCACUUGGUAGAAAGUUGGUGCUCCUUGUCACCGGUCGUAGCGUUGGUGAUGUUUUUGAUAAAAACGUCAUCGCACCUUUAGGACGAUCAACUGAGUUGAUGCAUUAUAAAUUAGGCUCCGCACUUGUGGAGGUGAAACUUGUCUGGACAGCUGUUAUGAUCAAGGACGUGGGAGACGAGAGCCUUUUGAUGUGA